rnacentral:rRNA from 1 species
AUAUCAAUAAGCGGAGGAAAAGAAACCAACAGGGAUUGCCCCAGUAACGGCGAGUGAAGCGGCAACAGCUCAAAUUUGAAAUCUGGCCCCCUCGGGGUCCGAGUUGUAAUUUGCAGAGGAAGUUUCGGCGUCGGCCCCGGGUCAAGUCCCCUGGAACGGGGCGCCCUAGAGGGUGAGAGCCCCGUACCCGCCCGGGCGCGCCUCGCCGUGUGAAGCUCCUUCGACGAGUCGAGUUGUUUGGGAAUGCAGCUCUAAGUGGGAGGUAUAUUUCUUCUAAAGCUAAAUACCGGCCAGAGACCGAUAGCGCACAAGUAGAGUGAUCGAAAGAUGAAAAGCACUUUGGAAAGAGAGUUAAAAAGCACGUGAAAUUGUUGAAAGGGAAGCUCUUGCCGCCAGACUUGCCGCGGUCGCUCAGCCGCCCCCCCGGGGCGGUGUACUCUUCCGUCGGCAGGCCAGCGUCGGUUCGGGCGGCCGGAUAAAGGCCUCGGGAAUGUAGCACCCUCCGGGGUGUGUUAUAGCCCGGGGCGCCAUGCGGUCAGCCCGGUCCGAGGCACGCGUUCGCGAGGACGCUGGCGUAAUGGCCGCAAGCGACCCGUCUUGAAACACGGACCAAGGAGUCUAACAUCUGUGCGAGUGUUUGGGUCUCACACCCAUGCGCGCAAUGAAAGUGAACGGAGGUGGGAACCCCCUCGAGGGGCGCACCAUCGACCGAUCCUGAUGUCUUCGGAUGGAUUUGAGUAAGAGCAUAGCUGUUGGGACCCGAAAGAUGGUGAACUAUUCCCGGAUAGGGUGAAGCCAGAGGAAACUCUGGUGGAGGCUCGCAGCGGUUCUGACGUGCAAAUCGAUCGUCAAAUCUAGGAAUAGGGGCGAAAGACUAAUCGAACCAU